rnacentral:rRNA from 1 species
AGUGAACGCUGGCGGUAGGCCUAACACAUGCAAGUCGAACGGCAGCACAGUAAGAGCUUGCUCUUACGGGUGGCGAGUGGCGGACGGGUGAGGAAUACAUAGGAAUCUACUUUUUCGUGGGUGAUAACGUAGGGAAACUUACGCUAAUACCGCAUACAACCUACGGGUGAAAGCAGUGGAUCUUCGCACCUUGCGCGAUUGAAUGAGCCGAUGUCGGAUUAGCUAGUUGGCUGGGUAAGGGCACACCAAGGCGACGAUCCGUAGCUGGUCUGAGAGGAUGAUCAGCCACACUGGAACUGAGACACGGUCCAGACUCCUACGGGAGGCAGCAGUGGGGAAUAUUGGACAAUGGGCGAAAGCCUGACGCAGCCAUACCGCGUGGGUGAAGAAGGCCUUCGGGUUGUAAAGCCCUUUUGUUGGGAAAGAACAGCAGCAGGUUUAUCCCCGGCUGUUCUGACGGUACCUAAUGAAUAAGCACCGGCUAACUUCGUG